GAUGAACGCUGACAGAAUGCUUAACACAUGCAAGUCAACUUGAACUUCGGUUUGGGUGGCGGACGGGUGAGUAACGCGUAAAGAACUUGCCUCACAGAUAGGGACAACAUUUGGAAACGAAUGCUAAUACCUGAUAUUAUGAUUUUAGGGCAUCCUAGAAUUAUGAAAGCUAUAUGCGCUGUGAGAGAGCUUUGCGUCCCAUUAGCUAGUUGGAGAGGUAACGGCUCACCAAGGCGAUGAUGGGUAGUCGGUCUGACAGGGUGAUCAGCCACAUGGGGACUGAGACGCCGCCCUUACUCCGACCGGAAUCGUACUUUUUUGCU
rnacentral:rRNA from 1 species